rnacentral:rRNA from 1 species
GAGUUUGAUCUUGGCUCAGGACGAACGCUGGCGGCGUGCCUAAUACAUGCAAGUCGAGCGGAUCUUCAUUAGCUUGCUUUUGAAGAUCAGCGGCGGACGGGUGAGUAACACGUGGGCAAUCUGCCUGUAAGACUGGGAUAACUUCGGGAAACCGGAGCUAAUACCGGAUAAUCCUUUUCCUCUCAUGAGGAAAAGCUGAAAGACGGUUUCGGCUGUCACUUACAGAUGGGCCCGCGGCGCAUUAGCUAGUUGGUGAGGUAACGGCUCACCAAGGCGACGAUGCGUAGCCGACCUGAGAGGGUGAUCGGCCACACUGGGACUGAGACACGGCCCAGACUCCUACGGGAGGCAGCAGUAGGGAAUCUUCCGCAAUGGACGAAAGUCUGACGGAGCAACGCCGCGUGAGCGAUGAAGGCC